GCGCGCCGGUUCUGUUUCUUCCAAAAGUGCUGUGCGAGUUUAGAAAACGCAAAUAAAACGUGAUAACUACUGUGGUAACUACUCUCCUCUGGCAGAUUGGAAGAGCAUUUUCGCUGAGCUAAUUAAAUAGUUUUCCGAAACUGCACAACGCAUUGCACUCCACCAACGAUCUUUUUCAAGCUGAUCGAGUUUAGUUCCGCUAUCAUCCGCAGCAACGGAGAUGGCGCUAGCACAUCAAACGUCAGCUUUCAAACUGCCAUAAACGUCAAAGAAAGUCAAUCGACUUGGCGGCCAUUCAGCAUCACAAUAACGAUUAGUUUGUGAACUCGAUUGCCGCUUCUGUUUGGCUUGUGUUUGUAUUAUAAUUGCAAAAGAAAAAAACAUUUCCCGGUGAAGCAUGUCCCGACGAAAACCAGCCGCAGCGGAAGCGGCCGGCGCAAAGCGUCCCAAACGUGCCAACAAUCUGUACACCCGGCCGGAAAAGAUCCCGCUCGGAACGAUUCUUACCGAUGCGUUCAACGUGCCGUGGAAGGUGGGACCGUCGAUCGGAUCCGGCGGCUUCGGUGAGAUCUACUGUGCGUACUGCUUCACACACGCUGCACCGAAAACGGUCGCCGACUAUCCUAACGUUGUAAAGAUCGAACCACAUGAAAAUGGGCCGCUUUUCGUUGAGACACACUUCUAUCGCAAAAUUUGCAAGGUGGACGACAUCGAACGGUACAGGAAGCUGCGUAAGCUGAAGCACCUGGGCAUGCCGUACUAUCUGGCGAGUGGGUCUCACACGCAGAACAAUGUGAAGCAUCGGUUCCUGGUGAUACCUCGGUUCGGAGCUAGCCUACAGUCCGUGUACAUUCAGAACAAGCAUUGCCUGCCCCUGUCUACGGUUUGCCGGGCGGCCAUGCAGAUGCUGGAUGUGCUGGAGUACAUUCACUCCAACCAGUACGUACAUGCCGAUCUGAAGGGUGACAACAUCCUGUUUGGUAUGGGUGAUCGUGGCCGAGAGCGCUUGUAUUUGGUGGACUUCGGUAUGGCUAGCCGGAUCGUGCUGGAAGAUCAAUUCAAACCCGAUCCACGGAAGAAACACAACGGGACGAUCGAGUAUACGUCGCGUGACGCUCAUCAGGGCGUGAUGACGAUGCGGGGCGAUUUGGAAAUAUUGGCGUACAACAUGAUCGAAUGGGCCGGCGGAAGUUUGCCGUGGAAGGAGGAAAAGCUGCUGAAAGAUUGCAACAAGGUGCAGCAGAUGAAGGAGGAAGGUAUGAGCGAUGUGGCCGGUUUGUUGAAGCAAAGCUUCCGCAAGCACGUAUCGGUGCCGAAGGUGUUGCAACCGUUUCUGGAGUUUGUUAACGGUUUGCGGUACAACGAACCGCCGAAGUACACGGUUUGUUCGAAAAUAUUCGAAAAAGCAUUAAAAACGCUUGGCGCUUCAAACACGGGCGUGCUCGAGCUGAGCGUCGCCAGCGCAUCGACCGUGAACGAUUCGUCGGGCCCGAUGAACAAAACAAAAACAAAGAAACGAAGAACGUUGGAUACUUCGGUGUCGAAUGGGCUAGCGGACACGGUACCGAAUACACCGGACGACGAUGAAAACACCGAAUGCAUGCCCACACCGAAGCGAAAUCAGAAAACGUUCGCCGUGAGUCCUUCCUUGAUGAAGCAAACCAAACAGCGCACGGUGAACAGAUCACGCACCGUACCGGACACAGAACCAAACACACUCGAGGAUGACGAAGAUUCGCCCGUUCUCUCGCAAAGAGCUAAGCGUAGGACGGACCGAUCCGAUGCGUCCGUUGCUGCUGGAUCAACGCGGAUGAAAAAACCGCUACUACCGAACCCCCAAAAUAUGGCUCUGGUGGACACGGUUCCCAACACACCCGAGGAAGCGGAGGACGAGGAAAACGAAGGGGACAACCUGUCCCGUGCCCUUUCAAAAGUCCCUAAAAUCGAACCCGUCCGCGGGAAGAACGAUAAAAAGGUAACCCUGGAAGAUGCUCGAUCCACCCGGCGCAAAGAGAAAACGGUCACCGUCGUGCAGAGUGCCUCAUCGCAGGGAAUAAACAUACGCAUCGAAACACCACGCAAGAAGCGGACACGAAACGUCGCCUCCGAAUCGCCGCAGGAAAUAACCAUCAAACUAACGCUGAACGCAAACGUUUCGGUCAAUACGAGAAGUAAGAAGAAUGGCACGGUUGUCGUGAGCGCGUCCCAGCAGAAUAUGUCGCUGGACUCGAGCAGAAAUGACGAAUCGAUGAACGCUUCGCAGGACGUUAUCAAUAUAUCUUCCGCGACGGAGGAUAACAAUGUGUCACGGAGCUUGUUUGAAGACUACUAACCAGGACUUUUUGCUGACCCCUUUCGAACAUUACCUAUGUUACAAGUGGAAACCGUAACCCCGUAACCCCCCCUUUUACAUGGCUUAGGAUUCCUGACACUGCUCCAGCCCGGCAAACCGGGGGGAGCGCCCAGGAAUGUCGGGAUUAAAUACCGGGAUUGCAAGAAAUUGGUGCGUAAAAGUGUAAAACGCGAGUAAAUUUGUCCCACCGGUUACCACGUAAUCCUCAAAGGGGGUGGGGGGGGAUCACCUCACAAGAAAACCCAUAUCACAUUAUCGUACUACAAACGCUCAACUGACACAGCAUAAUCUCAAGCAAGUAUUCACCAGCACCCGCUGGCUGGCAGGAGAGAGCCCGUUUUCCCUGAGGAUGCCACCGAACGCAACAAAAAACGGGGUACGAAAGUGCGGAAGUAUUUAAUUUCCUUCGUAUAAAAUAUGCCUCUGCGCUGGGCCGGGGGUAACCACAGGGAAACACGGGUAAAGCUACAGCAAGCCAAACAAAAUCCCUGGCCUGGUCUGGUUGUAUCUUUCGUGGUUUCUCGGAGUGCCCUGAAGGGAGAUUGCGUCUGGAUUCUGGCGGAGGAAAGGAGGAUAUCGUCCUCAGCUUGAAGAUUCCUGAACUCUGGACUAGAUUAAAAUGCGUGCCUUUAGCAGCCAGCAGCCUGCUCAGUACCCCCGCUCAAGGGCGGAAACUUUUUACACACGGUGUACGGCGGAAACCCGUCAACCCGUUUGCGCACUCGUCGUUUGCUCUUUGUCCCUAGGAAGUUUGAUCCCGUGAUGUUUGUAUUGUUGGGCUCCGUUUUCCUGGAGCAGCGGGAUCUAGUACCGAAAUGCUCGUUUCUCGUUAUCGGCAGCUUGUGUAGUCGAUGUCUCUCCAUGGGGAAGCCAAUCAGCUACUUCGAGCCUCGCGAACGUUACCAGGGAGGUAAUGCCCGAUUUGUGCAUAAAGCAUAAUGUAUGUCUCUCCGGUGAAUUGUACGGGUGAACAGCAAAGCGCAUUGCGUACUUCUUCUUUCUUUUUCUCGAUGCUAGCCCCACUGAUGGGAACGUUGUGUUAUGGUGCCAGUACAUCCUUAUCGUCCCGUUCGCCCCAUCGUCAGGCGACAGCGAUGCUGAUGGUGAUAAGUUUUUGUAAUAUUAAACAUUCUUGCACACCAUUCGACGAAGGGACUGGGUGGUGUAAGAAAAAAAAAACGCGGAAAUUCCUCCCCCAGGUGUGAGUGGAAAAGGCGAGGCGAAGCUGUUUUGUCGCUUCCCAAUGCAAGCAGCGAAUGACUCCUCGAGGACAUUCCGCCCGCUUCUUCAGGUGCAACCACGGUGGAACGCUUGGGGCGGCUUCCGUUUUAAACGCACUUUUACACUGAAAAAAGCCUCUCCAUUUUGGCAUGGCGCGCGCGCGCGCGCUCAAAUUCUAUAGCUCAUUCUAUGUGGCCCCCGGGAGCUUAAAGACGAUGGUGGUGUCCGUUCGGUAGGCUUCGCAAUGAUCGGUACGGUGGCCAAAAUCAAUGAAUGUGGUGUUGAACGAAUGCCGGAACCGGUACACGGAACAGUACACGGGAGACCAUUUUCCACUGAUUGUUUGGGGUUUAAGGGGGUGCCUUGUUGUGCACACGGUCGCUACUAAUGUUCGCUGGAAAGCUGAUCUUGGGGGCUCGUAAAUAUUACACCAUCUCCGGUGAAUAAUCUGAGCGGUUUAAAGGAGAGUGUUUGAAGUGAGGACGAUAAAAUCGAAUGAAAAUCGC